AAUUCGCCCUUAGAGUUUGAUCCUGGCUCAGGACGAACGCUGGCGGCGUGCCUAAUACAUGCAAGUCGAACGAAGCUUUCUUUCACCGAAUGCUUGCAUUCACCGAAAGAAGCUUAGUGGCGAACGGGUGAGUAACACGUAGGCAACCUGCCCAAAAGAGGGGGAUAACACUUGGAAACAGGUGCUAAUACCGCAUAACCAUGAACACCGCAUGAUGUUCAUGUAAAAGACGGCUUUUGCUGUCACUUUUGGAUGGGCCUGCGGCGUAUUAACUUGUUGGUGGGGUAACGGCCUACCAAGGUGAUGAUACGUAGCCGAACUGAGAGGUUGAUCGGCCACAUUGGGACUGAGACACGGCCCAAACUCCUACGGGAGGCAGCAGUAGGGAAUCUUCCACAAUGGACGAAAGUCUGACGGAGCAACGCCGCGUGAAUGAAGAAGGCCUUCGGGUCGUAAAAUUCUGUUGUCAGAGAAGAACGUGCGUGAGAGUAACUGUUCACGUAUUGACGGUAUCUGACCAGAAAGCCACGGCUAACUACGUGCCAGCAGCCGCGGUAAUACGUAGGUGGCGAGCGUUGUCCGGAUUUAUUGGGCGUAAAGGGAACGCAGGCGGUCUUUUAAGUCUGAUGUGAAAGCCUUCGGCUUAACCGAAGUAGUGCAUUGGAAACUGGAAGACUUGAGUGCAGAAGAGGAGAGUGGAACUCCAUGUGUAGCGGUGAAAUGCGUAGAUAUAUGGAAGAACACCAGUGGCGAAAGCGGCUCUCUGGUCUGUAACUGACGCUGAGGUUCGAAAGCGUGGGUAGCAAACAGGAUUAGAUACCCUGGUAGUCCACGCCGUAAACGAUGAGUGCUAAGUGUUGGAGGGUUUCCGCCCUUCAGUGCUGCAGCUAACGCAUUAAGCACUCCGCCUGGGGAGUACGGUCGCAAGACUGAAACUCAAAGGAAUUGACG
rnacentral:rRNA from 1 species